rnacentral:rRNA from 1 species
UACGUAGGGGGCUAGCGUUGUCCGGAAUCAUUGGGCGUAAAGCGCGUGUAGGCGGCCGCGCAAGUCGGGCGUGAAAUCCCACGGCUCAACCGUGGAAGUGCACUCGAAACUGCGCAGCUAGAGUCCUGGAGAGGAAGGUGGAAUGCUUGGUGUAGAGGUGAAAUUCGUAGAUAUCAAGCGGAACACCGGUGGCGAAGGCGGCCUUCUGGACAGUGACUGACGCUGAGACGCGAAAGCGUGGGGAGCAAACAGG